AGGUAUUAUGUACACUAUAUAAAACAAAAAAAUUAGAAAACUUUUAAAUGAGAUUAAAAGUAUGAAGAAAAAUUCUAGAUUUUCUUCCUGCACACUAAUACUAUAAGAUACAGAGUCUGCUUUGGA